CCGAGGACCAAUAACAUCAAUA
rnacentral:siRNA from 1 species